CCUACUAUUAGUAAUUAUGAACUUCUUUCUCUUUUGAAAUCUGGUUAUCGAAUGAAUAAACCUGAAAACUGUUCAGAAGAAAUGUAUAAUAUUAUGUUGCAAUGUUGGAAUGAGGAUCCAUUACAACGUCCUACUUUUACAACCUUGCGUGAGCAUUUUGAUAAAAAAUUGAAGAUGAUAAUACAACGGAAGAACAAGUUUUCAAAAAUCCUGAACACGUAAAGUCGAUUGAGGAAUUAAAAAGACUUCGCGAUAAACCCAUAGAUCCAUUAAACAAAAGAUAUACAGAUUUUGGAUAAAAUCAUUUCCACCAAGUUUAUCAAACACCUUUAUGAAUAAAGUUCAGAUUUUUAAUUUUGCUUCAAGUCAUUUAAAUAUAUGGCUUUUGUAAGAUUAAAAAAUGACAGAGUACAACUUUAUUAUAGCAAAAACU
rnacentral:lncRNA from 1 species